GGUGGCCGGGCAUCCCCCCUCCCCCCACGGCGGCACUGGUGAGUUUUGAGGUGUGCCAUGGAACUGGACACCAGGCAGUUUUUGUAAAACUAACAGGCUGAGCAGACAGUCGACAGGGGACAAAGCUUGUCUUCCAUCGUGACUCAGUAAGGACUUUGGGCACUGUCCUGAUGGCCUGUGGCUUGGACAGCAACCUCUCCCUCCUCGAGCCCCCUGGCCUGGUCCUGGGCAGGGCCUGGGUUGUGCAGAUGGCCAAGUUCCACUUUUGUCCAUCUCUAAUGGGCAAAUGCACCAAUGGCAGCACACGGCAAGAGGUGCUCCCCGUGGUAUGUGGAGGUCCUGAGCAGUUCUUGGGCUGAGGUCUGUGGAGCUAGGUCUUUGGAGCUGGAUCUCAGAGGAAGAUCUCAGAAGCCCUGCCAAGACACAGUUUCAUGUUGUAUUUCACCUGAAUCCCAAAAAGGCAGCUCCUGAAGUCCCAUUACUGUGUGGUGGUGUCAGGCCAUUCCAUCUUCAGCUGGCUGGCUCACCCAUGGCCCCUGCCUGGCUUUGCCACUAGGUGGAGCCACAGGCCUACCCAAUUGCUUCCCCACGUUGCAAACGCCAGACCUGCCUUUCAAAUUUAGCGUCAGGACUCUUCUUCAACUCUCCUAAAUUUUUCAAGUUUCUGUUACAUGGUGACAUCUAGGGGUAUUUAGAGACAAAAACAGAGCAGCUGUUACACUUAGGACUUUCACUUAAAACCAGUGAUGAUAAAUCCAGUGCAUGUAAACAUCACAGUUUAAAGAAAAACAGCUUUAUUUUCCCAUCAUUGGUGCAGAUCCCUUAGAAGAGCUAGGUUAUAACUACGUGGCCAACUCAAGUUCUUUCUGCUGUUCUGUCCACAUUGAUUUGCUGCUUUUUGG
ensembl:lncRNA